rnacentral:rRNA from 1 species
GACGAACGCUGGCGGCGUGCUUAACACAUGCAAGUCGAACGGAAAGGCCCUGCUUUUGUGGGGUGCUCGAGUGGCGAACGGGUGAGUAACACGUGAGUAACCUGCCCUUGACUUUGGUAUAACUUCAGGAAACUGGGGCUAAUACCGGAUAGGAGCUCCUGCUUCAUGGUGGGGGUUGGAAAGUUUCGGCGGUUGGGGAUGGACUCGCGGCUUAUCAGCUUGUUGGUGGGGUAGUGGCUUACCAAGGCUUUGACGGGUAGCCGGCCUGAGAGGGUGACCGGCCAAAUUGGGACUGAGAUACGGCCCAGACUACUACGGGAGGCAGCAGUGGGGAAUCUUGCACAAUGGGCGGAAGCCUGAUGCAGCAACGCCGCGUGCGGGAUGACGGCCUUCGGGUUGUAAACCGCUUUCGCCUGUGACGAAGCGUGAGUGACGGUAAUGGGUAAAGAAGCACCGGCUAACUACGUG